rnacentral:rRNA from 1 species
UGCAGCGACGCCGCGUGGGGGAUGAAGGCCUUCGGGUUGUAAACUCCUUUCGCUAGGGACGAAGAGUUACAUUGACGGUACCUGGAGAAGAAGCACCGGCUAACUACGUGCCAGCAGCCGCGGUAAUACGUAGGGUGCGAGCGUUGUCCGGAAUUACUGGGCGUAAAGAGCUCGUAGGUGGUUUGUCGCGUCGUCUGUGAAAUCCCGGGGCUUAACUCCGGGCGUGCAGGCGAUACGGGCAUAACUUGAGUGCUGUAGGGGAGACUGGAAUUCCUGGUGUAGCGGUGAAAUGCGCAGAUAUCAGGAGGAACACCAAUGGCGAAGGCAGGUCUCUGGGCAGUAACUGACGCUGAGGAGCGAAAGCAUGGGUAGCGAACAGGAUUAGAUACCCUGGUAGUCCAUGCCGUAAACGGUGGGCGCUAGGUGUAGGGGACUUCCACGUCUUCUGUGCCGCAGCUAACGCAUUAAGCGCCCCGCCUGGGGAGUACGGCCGCAAGGCUAAAACUCAAAUGAAUUUGACGGGGCC